AUGUGAGGAACGGACUCAAAAUGAGAAUUUUGGGGAGUAGGUGAGUUAACAAUGUGAGGAACAGACUCAGAAUGAGAAUUUUGGGGAGUAGGUGAGUUUACAGUAAAGGUUGUUGAGACAGGAGUGGGAAGAAAAGUGGAUAAAGUAGGACCAUCUGGUAAAACAGAACACACUUUCUGAGAUGGAAACAAGUCAAGAUAAGAAAAUUUUACCUCAUUAAACACAACAUCUUUGGAUAUAAAAAUUCUACCUGAAGCAUCUAAAC
rnacentral:lncRNA from 1 species